GACGAACGCUGGCGGCGUGCUUAACACAUGCAAGUCGAGCGGAGCGGAGAACGGGUGAGUAACGCGUGAGUAACUGCCCCCCUCUCUGGGAUAACAGUUGGAAACGGCUGCUAAUACCGGAUAUUGGGGGAUGACUCGCGUCCUAUCAGCUUGUUGGUGGGGUAGUGGCCUACCAAGGCGACGACGGGUAGCCGGCCUGAGGGGGCAACCGGCCACAUUGGGCUGUGAUACGGUCCAAACUCCUACGGGAGGCAGCAGUGGGGACUAGUGCACAAUGGGGCAAACUCUGAUGCAGUGACGCCGCGUGCGGGAGGACGGCCUUCGGGUUGUAAACCGCUUUCAGCCAUGACGCGGUAGUGGCAGAAGAAGCACCGGCUAACUACGUGCCAGCAGCCGCGGUAAUAC
rnacentral:rRNA from 1 species